rnacentral:rRNA from 1 species
CAAGACCUUGCGCUUUUGGAGCGGCCGAUGUCUGAUUAGCUAGUUGGUGAGGUAAAGGCUUACCAAGGCGUCGAUCAGUAGCUGGUCUGAGAGGACGACCAACCACACUAGGACUGAGACACGGCCCAGACUCCUACGGGAGGCAGCAGUGAGGAAUUUUGGACAAUGGGGGAAAUCCUGAUCCAGCCAUGCCGCGUGAGUGAAGAAGGCCUUCGGGUUGUAAAGCUCUUUCAGCCGGAACGAAACGGUCACAGCUAAUAUCUGUGACUACUGACGGUAACGGAAGAAGAAGCACCGGCUAACUACGUACCAGCAGCCGCGCUAAUACGUAGGGUGCGAGCGUUAAUCGGAAUUACUGGGCGUAAAGCGUGCGCAGGCGGUUUUGUAAGUCAGAUGUGAAAUCCCCGGGCUUAACCUGGGAACU